UCCCUGUGAGUACCCGAAAAGUGAUUUGAGUAUUUAUUGAGCAGGGAGAACAAACUGCCUGCGUCAGGCAGAGAGAAAGCUUAUGGAAAUGAUAUUAGACCUUCAGCAAAGUGCACAGCUGCAUCAUACAGAAGCCGAGACUCAAACUGACAGGCAAAUAAGCCAGAUCACGGAAGGGGCCUCUGUGUGGCAGCUCUGAGCUACCAAGUGUUGGACAACUAGGCAAAAAGUGAAAUGGAACAGGGCAGAAAAUAACAUACUAACUUCAGGCAACUGUUGCUUUUUCAUGGUCUUUAGGGAUUUUACACUGCGUAUCUGGAAAAACAAGUCACCAUUUAAAAACUAAGUCUACGCCAUGAAUGAUGCUGACAAAGGGAGUAACUUCACUCCUGGAGUAAUCCCCCUGAGACAUGAGAGUGAAGUCAAGGCUCAGGUCUGUAACUGUCAACUUCUGUCUGAUAUGACGCCCAGAUCUUUUGGUGAUGCCACAUGCAGCACUAACUAGUACUAGAAAAUGGAAGAGGUCUCAGAAUAAGGUGUACAACUGCCUUUCAGCUUGCAGAGAGAUCGUUUUUAUCAUUUCAUGAAUUACAGAACUUCGAACAGAACUCAAGGCACAGAAUUUUAGUCUCCUGCUAUUACUGAGCAAGAGAACCCAACUUUAGGAGCAUGCUUAUUGUGAUAGCCUCAGUGAUUUCUUUUACAAUACAUUCUGUUCAGGCAUGUGAACUUUGUUAAACUGUCCAGUGAAAGGAAAAUUUUAAAAUGAAAAUGGCAACUGAAGAAGUUGAAUAUACCUGAAUUCAGCGAAGUAAUUGCUUGGAGUCGAGGAAUCUGCUGGGGAUGAUCCAUGUUUGGACACUUGAGCCUUUGCAGAACAUGACCAAUUGAGUACGUUCUUGAAAGAACAUCUCAAAGUUUUAGGAACUAGGGUUUGGAAUGCAUGGAUUUCUUUGAGGAAUGGUUAAAUCUAGGUAUUCCAAUAGUUUUAACUUGACCCAGAUUCUAACUGCAGUUUCAUAGUCUCAAAGUGCAUCUCACUGUUGAGCUACCCUGGAAAAAAGUUCUAAAGUAAAGUAUAGGUGAAGACCAGCAAAAGGCAUCUGGAAUGCUCUCAGUGUUUAGCAUCUUAUUGAGGGACACUAUCACUCUUGAGGAAGUCCACAGAAAAACAAAGCAUUCUUUUGGUGCCCUGCAGAAGAGCUAGCGUUCUUACUACUUACCUUUGUGAUUUUAAGAGAGUGACAUGAACGCAGAACACGUACCCCAGGAUGUGGCAAGUCUCUCUCAAUGUAUGUUUGUGCUUGUUCCUGUGCAUAAUGAUAUACUCUUGCUCAUGCCUUGCAGAAGUGGGCUCAGAAUACCAUUGCAUUGCAAGCAGGUAGUGUUCAAAGUAAAGGAGAAGCAAAUGCUGCUUUUGUAACUCAGAAACUGGCAACGUGCCUCCAUUAGGAUCAAGGAACAGCUCCUAUUUUUGACUUCCUCUUUUAACUCACUUCAAAUGAGAACCUCUCCCAUCUAUGGCAUUGUGGACUAAUUCUCUCAGCUUCAUAUUCAUACUUCUAUCUUACUGAAUCUUGAGGAUCAGAUGAGUGCUGGGAGAUGGCACACAAGACAAUGAGAUGACAAGGAUUCUUUUCUGAUGCUACUUCUCGGUUUUCUGAUGGUCAUGUCUUGAGCUGAUCACGAAGUUGAAAGUUGUGUGCAUCUGUGGGAUAGAGGAUGUGGACCUCGCGGAGAUGCACCGUUCCCUUGAGUACAGGCCCUAGAAACUUGAUGAGUGAAUUGUGAAACUGGAAAAUUGCCUGAGGUUGGUGAAGGAGCAAGACAAAUAUAAUCCAUACUUCAAGCAACAUUUGGCUCUAAUAAUUGUCCUACAACAGGAAGGGACGUUGCUGAGACUAUAUGCAACAUUCAUGAGGCAUAUCCUUCAUGGUGAAUUCACCAGGUGAAUCAGAUGUGACAGUGCCAGGAGCCAAGAAGAAGAGACGGCUGUAGCAGAACAUCCAACUGAUUGAGUCACUCACCUGGGCUGGGGCAGACAGGCUCGAGGCCAUGUCUCCCUCUGAUUUAUCAAAGUGGAGAACUUCCAAGCAUUGUAUGGAGCACCCUGGUCAGCCAAGCUAUUGAGUUUUUGGUGUGGGGCACUCUUUCCACUGAAGCGAUUUUAUUUCAUUUCAGUACAUAAGACCAAAAAAAGAGAAACAUUUUUGAAGUGCUUCAGAAAACAUAGUUACCUUCUGACCAGCCUUAGCAUCAACAAAACCACUUCCUGGAUGAUGUAUAGAUCCAGAUUUAUAGAGAGUGUCUGUGUCUUCAUCUGUAUCUUUUUACUUUGUACCCUAGAUUUGAUUGUUCCAACAAUUUUUUCACUCUAUGUCUUUAACUUGUCAUAUGUGUCUUUAAUAAAAGAAUAUUAAAGGA